CCUACGGGUGGCAGCAGUCGAGAAUCAUGCACAAUGGGGGAAACCCUGAUGGAGCGACGCCGCGUGGGGGAAUGAAGGUCUACGGAUUGUAAACCCCUGUCAUGUGGGAGCAAAUUAAAAAGAUAGUACCACAAGAGGAAGAGACGGCUAACUCUGUGCCAGCAGCCGCGGGAAUACAGAGGUCUCAAGCGUUGUUCGGAAUCACUGGGCGUAAAGCGUGCGUAGGCUGUUUCGUAAGGCGUGUGUGAAAGGCGCGGGCUCAACCCGCGGACGGCACAUGAUACUGCGAGACUAGAGUAAUGGAUGGGGAACCGGAAUUCUCGGUGUAGCAGUGAAAUGCGUAGAUAUCGAGAGGAACACUCGUGGUGAAGGCGGGUUCCUGGACCUUAACUGACGCUGAGGCACGAAUGCCAGGGUAGCAAACAGGAUUAGAUACCCUUGUAGUC
rnacentral:rRNA from 1 species